UUUUGAGGAAAUUUGGUGUCAUGGGGUUAAGGAAGACUAAACCAUGGGAUGCAAGAUUGGGUGAAAUCCCAAUCUUGUAGCACUAGGAAGUAAUCUUGGUCAUAGUGGGCCAAGGUGAAGUGUAGAACCAAAGGAUUUCUUGCUCGUCACCUGGGGUGGUCUAAAGGCCAUCCUGGCAAGUCGAAACACGGUAGGAGUUGGGGA
rnacentral:rRNA from 1 species